CUCUGAGCUCAGCUACCUCUCAGGUCCCAUUAUUCUAGAAAGCAGAAAUGUGAGAUUUUACUCCUCUUCAUUUUAAGAAGAAAAAAAGGAAGUCUGUUAAAGUAAGGGGAGAAAAGACCCUGAUACAACUUCCACCAAAUAUAAAACAGACAUAGCCCUAAAUUGUGGUAUAAAUCGGGUAUCUAUUUUGAGUUCAAGUUCUCCUUUAGCAUACUUUUAAAUUCAGGGUGUUACAGUUUAUUGAAUUUAACAUUAAAAUGGACUCACGUGGGAAAUGGAGUCAAUAUUUUAUACAUUGAAUUUUGCGUUACGUUUCAAAAGUGAAUGUAAAUAUACAGGUGUAAAACCAGCUGGAUGGCACACAGGCACUCCGCUGCGAGUGCACGGCCCACCCUGCCCGAAUGCAGAGAAACACUAGAAGCUCUUGAGCCAGCAGAGAGAAAACCCAGAGAGUCUGAGUGGAAUCUGUUAGCCGUGCAAAUGUUACACAAUGCACAUUUGCUAUGACACAAAUCUAAGACUAAAGGGGGAAAACGGCAGAAAUUUUAGAAGACUCAUGGGCUCUCCUGAAUAAAAAUCCUGCUGAACUAGUGACCGGCUGAGCGUGGAUUGUCGGGUGAGCCGCCCUCUGGGUCCUGAAGGGCCCUUGGUGUCUCUUUACAGAGAAGCAACCCCGACAUUGGUGGAGGCAAGCGCUCGUGGCAGAUGAACCUGCAGAUGAGGCUGGGCACUGCCCAGCUUAUGAGGACAAAUGGCUCUUUUUAUAUUCCAGCAACCACGGAACUCUCUGGAGUGCCCAGGGCUGUUUUAGGACAUCCUAAACUGCUACUUUCAUGCCAAGUUUGGAGGACUGUCUUCUGAAAUAUCUUUUAUAAAAACAAAUUUAAUGCAAAAGCACGUAAGUCUACAUGAAACCCUCCCAGCACGGGUUUUCCAGCCAAAUGGUAGGGGCAUACAUAGAAAAAUGAAACAUUUGUGGUUGUGUUUUCAAGGCAGAAAAGAUGCUGAAGGGAAAAGUCUAUGUUCGAAACAUAAUCCCAGAAUAAAAAGCUCCAAGAAAUGCAGUUUUGAGGAAG
rnacentral:lncRNA from 1 species